rnacentral:misc_RNA from 1 species
GUGAGUCAUCGAAUCUUUGAACGCAUAUUGCGCCCCUUGGUAUUCCGGGGGGCACACCUGUUCGAGCGCCAUUUCGACCCUCAAGCAUAGCUUGGUGUUGGGUGGAGUCCCUAGAGGGACCCUCCAUAACUCGUAGGCGGUCGUCCGCCCGCACCCCCCUAGCGUAGCAGGCUCACGCACUCGCUCGGGGAUGGGGCGCGACCAUGCCUUGCAAACCACCUUCUCAAAGGUUUGGCCUCGGAUCAGGUGGGGAUACCCGCUGAACUUAAGCAUAUCAAUAAGCGGAGGA